GAACCGGAAUGAAGGAACUAGAGCAUCCGGGGGACACUCCCUAGAGAGUUUACUUUUUCACGCCGCACUGGUCUUGCUCCACUGCCUCCCACCCCACCCUCCUUUCUGCUGGUGCUGACAACGGCUGCUGAGGUAUAAAUUAGGGCUGAGCUCCUUGAGUGCAUCACAUCAAAGGCAGCAUGAAGACAGGUGCAGUCUUUGUUCUGGUGGCUUUCAUCACCGUGGGGAUGGAGCUGGCCUGUGCUUGGAGACCUCCUUUCAGAGGGCAAGAAAGACCCAGAGGCUGCCCAGAGGUGCCCAAAGAGGUCCUUGGGUUUUGUGCUGAAAUGUGCUCGGGAGAUCAAUCAUGUCCCAGGGGGAUGAAAUGCUGCAGCAAUGGAUGUGGUCAUGUCUGCCAGUAUGCUGUCCCCCCCGAAGUGUAGCUCUGCUGGCUGUGUGCGAGAUGGACAGGACGUUUAUUAAGCAUGCCUGGAUACCAGCCCCAGAAGAUUUCUCAUGAAUCCGUGAAUCUGACCCUUGACAUUAACAAGACUUCCACAAGCCAUUCCUAUCUAUUCCCUAUCCCUGGAAUUGCAGCCCUCGAGGGGGAAUAUCUAACGUGGUAGAGUGACUGCUUUCUAAAGAGCUUGUGUCCAAAAUAAACUGUGUCUAUGGCA